GCGUUCAUUUUUAACACGUUUAUAUGUUAUUUUCUAUACGUCGGUGUUAAAAACUUUACACAUCAUGUGUUUUAGGUGUGUAAUCUUAAACGUGCAACACGUUAAAAUGUUUCCAGUUCUGAUUUUACAGAAAUAACGCAUAUGUGUUAAUAAUAUUUUAGUGUUCUUGAACGUUUAUCUGAAUUGAUAUUAUUAUUUCUUCAACAUUUAAUAUUGUCUAUAUAAAUAUCUAGUUCCAUUACUUUAUUUUCUAACCGAUACAUUAAUGAAAGUAAUAGAACUCUAGACACGAUAUAGAGUAAAUUAACACAAGCGUUAAAGAUGGAAUUAUUUUAUUAACACUCUCAGUGUAAAUAAUCUUGCUAAAUUACAUCACUGAUAGCUGACCUCUCCAUAACUGACCUAACCCUUUGCCGCCGCAUCUUUAAUUUCUUUGUUCCAAGAAAGCGGCCACCAAGAAAUUCAGACAGGGUGGUCAACGAAGUGUACUUGUUUGCAAGGGCACCAGAGCUGGACGUCUUACAGGCAUUAGAGGAUCUAGUUUCAAAGAAGAAAGGCAAAGCCAAAAGUCAAAGAACUGCAUAAAAGUUGUCAAGAAUGUUCUGUUGUUGGAAACUAUUCCCAAAAAACACCUUGAAUCAGAAGAGGAAUCGCCGCCUGCUUUGAUUGCCUUAAAAACGAAGAAGAAGUGUUGGUAAUCUACAUUGUUGCUGAUGGGUGCAAAAUUUUAUACACCACCCGAUGUAUCCAGACAGCAGCUAUGCUACUUAUUGGAUGUUAUUAUGUGUUUGACCUAGACUACUCAGCAAUAUAUGGACAAUUUUGGGGUUUUCGUCAACAUUGGGUAGUUGGAGACAUCUUCCCACAGAAUAAAUGUACUAAUUGGAGAAAUUUUAGUGAGCAGUACAGGGCCCAUGUCAAAAAAUAAAUGAUUGUGUAAAAUAUUUUAAUUGUUAGUUUUUUUUUCACAGGGCUGCCAUGUAGAAAGAAAGAUAGCACCGUGUUAAAUUGUUAACACUUAUUUCAGAAUUAACGUGUUAUCGCGUGAAUUAAGUGUUUCCACGGAUUUUAACGUGUUAGGUGUUAACCCUAUAAAACAUUUCUACACGUUUAUAGAUAAACACCUGUGUUAUUGUAUUAACACUUUAACGCGUGUUAAAAGAUUAACACUCAUGUUAUUGUAUUAACACUUUAACGCGUGAAUUAAGUGUUU